UGGGGAAUUUUGGACAAUGGGGAAACCCUGAUCCAGCCAUCCCGCGUGUGCGAUGAAGGCCUUCGGGUUGUAAAGCACUUUUUGCAGGAAAGAAACGUCAUGGGUUAAUACCCCGUGAAACUGACGGUACCUGCAGAAUAAGCACCGGCUAACUACGUGCCAGCAGCCGCGGUAAUACGUAGGGUGCAAGCGUUAAUCGGAAUUACUGGGCGUAAAGCGUGCGCAGGCGGUUCGGAAAGAAAGAUGUGAAAUCCCAGAGCUCAACUUUGGAACUGCAUUUUUAACUACCGGGCUAGAGUGUGUCAGAGGGAGGUGGAAUUCCGCGUGUAGCAGUGAAAUGCGUAGAUAUGCGGAGGAACACCGAUGGCGAAGGCAGCCUCCUGGGAUAACACUGACGCUCAUGCACGAAAGCGUGGGGAGCAAACAGG
rnacentral:rRNA from 1 species